GGGGAAUCUUCCGCAAUGGCCGAAAGUCUGACGGAGCAACGCCGCGUGAGUGAAGAAGGUUUUCGGAUUGUAAAGCUCUGUCGUUUGGGACGAACGUGGAUUGUGUGAAUAAUGCAAUCUAAUGACGGUACCAAAGGAGGAAGCCACGGCUAACUACGUGCCAGCAGCCGCGGUAAUACGUAGGUGGCAAGCGUUGUCCGGAAUUAUUGGGCGUAAAGGGCGUGUAGGUGGAUUCUUAAGUCGGUGUCUAAGUGCGGUGCUCAACACCGUAUGGGGGCAGGAAACUGGGAAUCUUGGGUGCAGGAGAGGAAAGGGGAAUUCCCGGUGUAGCGGUGAAUGGCGUAGAUAUUGGGAGGAACACAAGGGGCGAAGGCGACUUUCGGGCCUGUGUCUGACACGGAGGCGCGAAAGCAAGGGGAGCGAACG
rnacentral:rRNA from 1 species